UGGGCUGCCCAAAAUCCAUCUGUCACAAUGAAUAGCCAUCCAUGCUUGCCAUCCACUAAUUCUCCCUCCCUAUCCCUCCGCACAUGCACAUUUUGAUCAGCACCGCCACUGUGAUUCUGUCUCUUCUUUCCUCAAACUGAACACCAUAGCAGUUUCCCAGCCUCACUGUGAUUCCGUCUCUUCUUUCCUUCAAACUGAACACCAUAGCACUUUCAAUAUGCAGCAAAUGAUCAGUGAAGAGGUGGCUGGGAUGGCUCGACCCGAACGUUUUUUGGCUCAUCAUGUCGAACUCAGUUGUCAACUCCAUCGGAAGUCACCACGGGGAAAAAAAAAAUUAUAUCAAUGUUUUAAAUACCCGAUGGAGUCAUGCAGUCAGGUCUUGUGUUUGUCAUGGGGGGAUGACGACAUGGACAAUGAUAGAAAUGGCAGCAGCGGCUCCCAGCGUCGAGAAUGCCUAGAGAGGAAUGACGACGGCGUCAAGAAGGAGAAAGAAUAACGCUGGUGUCGGGGUGUGUGUUGUUUCUUUGAAAAAAAAAACACCCGUUGGGGACCGACCAUACCUGUGCGUUAGCGACGUUGCUCAAGAAUUUAUUGGGUAUGCUAAUUGAUAUUGUUCCUGGUGCAAUGAUGAAUCCAGCACUUCAAGUCUCUCUUAAUUUGGAGUUUGUGCACUUGAUGAAAAGAAUUCAAAAAAUUAUAGUUGUGAUAAAAAUUCUAAUAUUUUAUGUAAGACUUUCUAUUUCAAAUAAAAAAUAAGAACUAUGUACAAGCAUGCACUAAAUUUCUUAAAUUAAAAUUGGUAUAGAAUAA